rnacentral:rRNA from 1 species
AACGAACGCUGGCGGCAUGCCUAACACAUGCAAGUCGAACGAAGCCUUCGGGCUUAGUGGCGCACGGGUGCGUAACGCGUGGGAAUCUGCCCUUUGGUUCGGAAUAACAGUUGGAAACGACUGCUAAUACCGGAUGAUGACGAAAGUCCAAAGAUUUAUCGCCAGAGGAUGAGCCCGCGUAGGAUUAGCUAGUUGGUGUGGUAAAGGCGCACCAAGGCGACGAGCCUUAGCUGGUCUGAGAGGAUGAUCAGCCACACUGGGACUGAGACACGGCCCAGACUCCUACGGGAGGCAGCAGUGGGGAAUAUUGGACAAUGGGCGAAAGCCUGAUCCAGCAAUGCCGCGUGAGUGAUGAAGGCCUUAGGGUUGUAAAGCUCUUUUACCCGGGAUGAUAAUGACAGUACCGGGAGAAUAAGCUCCGGCUAACUCCGUGCCAGCAGCCGCCGUAA